rnacentral:rRNA from 1 species
GACGAACGCUGGCGGCGUGCUUAACACAUGCAAGUCGAACGGAAAGGCCCUGCUUUUGUGGGGUGCUCGAGUGGCGAACGGGUGAGUAACACGUGAGUAACCUGCCCUUGACUUUGGGAUAACUUCAGGAAACUGGGGCUAAUAACGGAUAGGAGCUCCGGCUGCAUGGUGGGGGUUGGAAAGUUUCGGCGGUUGGGGAUGGACUCGCGGCGUAUCAGCUUGUUGGUGGGGUAGUGGCUUACCAAGGCUUUGACGGGUAGCCGGCCUGAGAGGGUGACCGGCCACAUUGGGACUGAGAUACGGCCCAGACUCCUACGGGAGGCAGCAGUGGGGAAUAUUGCACAAUGGGCGGAAGCCUGAUGCAGCAACGCCGCGUGCGGGAUGACGGCCUUCGGGUUGUAAACCGCUUUCGCCUGUGACGAAGCGUGAGUGACGGUAAUGGGUAAAGAAGCACCGGCUAACUACGUG